UAACGGGAAUUUACGACUCCCGUUGACGCGUAUUCUAACGACCGCGUCUCCCCACGAUAGAUCGAAAAUACACAAAUUGAUUUCUUUUUAUUUACAAUAUUGUUUAUUUAUAAUGUUAUGAGUGAAUAAGAUUGUAUGAAUGUAUCUUAAGAAUACAGAUAGUUUCUAAUAUCAGGCAGAAUGUAAUUACAAAUGGAGAUAAAAUAAAAAAGAUUUAUUUAUAACAGAUGUAGAUAUAUCGAAGCUUUAAUCAUGUAUGCAAUUAUAUAUUGAAAAAAUUGAUCUACAUAAAGGUAUGAAAGUAUAACAUUUAAAAAUUUAUGAACUUUAUUUUUAUUUAAUUUCAAUAAUAUACGGUAACUGAUUACGUAAUUACGAAAUUUGACAACUAAACGAAUCCCUUGAAACAAAUCAGCUAAUCUUACUAACAGCUUACUGCUAACCGUGCAUUACCAUUGGAUAAUUGCAUACAGUUGACUGCCCGCAGGAAUGAAUCCUCAUUAUCACUACACUGCGUCGUUGAGCGAACUCUCGAUCGAACUUCCUUUUGAUGCUCGUUUCGCGGAAUAAUAUACGCGAUAAGAAUCAAGGACGAUGCUGUAUAAUUUGUUACUUUAAUGCCAGUAUAUUAGAAGGACAGAAAAUUAUUACGAGUGAUUGUGAAACGAUUUGAAAGAAAAUUCCUCGAUAAUCCUCCUGAAUGCGUGUUAUUAGUAAUUGCACGUAUAGGUUAUUAAUAGUAUCUAAACUACUAUUAAAGGAAAGAUGGAAAGACAAAUCGCAAAAUUGCGAUUGCAGGUUCUCCUGUUACUCAUUGUUGAAUAUAAUAUGACUGAAACUACGUGCUAGUAACUGUUUUAUUCGAUGGCAUUGGAGGAUUUUUUAAAAAGAAAUUCCAAAGUGACGAAAAUUAAUCGAAAAGUGAGAAAGCGAAGAAGGUAAGGCAGAAAUCUAUGCCACGGAUGUUUCUUUCGCACGGUAAUAUGGAACAAGACGCCAUCUUCAUCUGCGAGUCCUUCCAAUACGUGCAGAAAGACAGCAAAAUCGGACUGAUUUGGGAAGGAGCAUUAUCUCAAAGGUUACCGACUAACCGUGCAGGAUAGCUCGACGAAAAGAUUAUCUCCUACUUUAUGAUCGUUGGUGAUAGUUGACGAACAGCCAAGAAUACACACAAGGAACGAUAUAUAAUAAUUGAAAACGUAAUAACUGAACCUGGCCUAACCGCUUAAGAUCGAAAUAUAUGAAUAUCCUCGCAGCAUCUUAAAUAAAUACGUGUUAUGUGAUUUUUCCACGUAUCACAUGUCAUCGUGCAGGUUUGACGUGGAAAUGUCACAAUGUUGACGCGAUAAUAACUGCUAAAUAAUAUUACACUUCAUAGGCUAUAAGAAGUUCGUAGCCGGCAUUCAACGAAUCGUAAAGUAUCACACAAGGCAGGUUUUAAUCGCGAGAGUCGAUAUUAUUUUACUGUAUUAUCUUCGUUGCUUUUCGACUCUAAGUAGCUAGGUAUAAAGAAAAUUUUAAUAAGGAUAUUACGAAAAAUUGUACAAGCAGUUCAAACGUAAUAAGAUAGCUCUAGCUGACUUAAGAAAAUAUAGAACAUCGUAAAGGGUAUAUUGGAAACAUUGCAUCGUUGGUACGGGAAUCAUAAGGGAGUUGGUCGCAGUAGGUGGAAAUAAUUGUAAGGUAUAUCCUCUGUACAACCUACAUCUCGUUCAAUUUCUUCUACUAACCCUUUCGAUGCUUCCUCGUUGGUUCCUCUAGAACGAUACUGUUUUCUAGAAAUUGUCUGGUAAACGGGGCUCCUAGAAUAGCCGUGUUCUCGAGAGCAGUAGCUAGAACAGAGUUACUAAAACCCUCGACAAGGCUGUGUACAGCCUACCGGCCAAUCGAUGGAAUUAAUUUGCAUAAUGUAUACAUGCGAAAGUGUAUGUUCCACAAUGCUCUCCGAUACUGUUGUUACCUUUAUCCGAUGAUAUCGAAGGAGACUGGGAGGAUUCACGCCGCGUUUGUGCGCGAUGCAAUUAAAAUUCUUGAUAGGAUUUUUGUGGUACGAUGGAAGUGUGACCGUUUAAUGACAAGUACAUAUAUAUAUAUCGCACUUUUAACGAGCCAGGGAAACACAUCGAUGAAAUCGCAAUAUCAGCUCUGUGUCGAUUAACCGUUUCAUUAAACGCUCACGGAAUGUAUCUAUCCACUGGUUUGUAUUGCGCAUUAAUAUUUAUUUAUAAAUUUUUCUCCGGAGGUUAAAUGAAUUUGUAAUGCUAUUACGAUUCGCAGUUUAUUUGCAUCAUACGAUAUGUUAAGUAAGUAGCGUGCGAUUUGAAGGCUUCACUUUGUUUUCUAUUCAUCCAAUUUUCGUUCAAAGUUACAGCGGAAUGCCGGUAUUUCUCGGUGUAUCUUCUGAUUCGCUUUGUUCUCGUGCUUUUUAGACACUCGUAGCAAAAAUUGUAAUCUAAUUCGACGCGAUACAUUGUAAUAAAUGACGUAUAAGGGUUUUACAACCUUACCGAUUUAACGAAGUUGAAAUUUUGAUCAUUCAUAAUUCUUAUCAACGAUCGACGAUUGAACAAUGUAAUUGAACUUUUGGCAUUCAUUUUAUAGAAAUAUGUUUGUCUUCGUUAUGUAAUGAAAUUGCAAAUGCACGUUGCAAGCAAAAAAAAAAAAGACAUUUUAUACCUCUUAAUCAUACGAUACAUGAGAAAUGCAAUGGAUAAGAGUAUUACCGAAUAAAAUCGUAACAAGUAGAAAUACGCGAUACGUUGUACAUUGUUUCUUUGUUUUCGAAUUUUGACGAGGCGGACAUGGAAAUCGGUAAACGUUUCGAUACGAGAAUCCAGAUUUCGAA